UACGUAGGUGGCAAGCGUUGUCCGGAUUUACUGGGCGUAAAGAGCGCGCAGGCGGUCGGAUAAGUCGAAUGUGAAAGCCCCCGGCUCAACUGGGGAGGGUCAUUCGAUACUGUUCGACUCGAAGGCAGGAGAGGGAAGUGGAAUUUACGGUGUAGCGGUGAAAUGCGUAGAUAUCGUAAGGAAGACCAGUGGCGAAGGCGGGUCUCUGGACAGUUCCUGACGCUGAGGCACGAAGGCCAGGGGAGCAAACGGG
rnacentral:rRNA from 1 species